rnacentral:rRNA from 1 species
UACGGGGGGGGGCAAGCGUUGCUCGGAAUUACUGGGCGUAAAGGGAGCGUAGGCGGACAGUUAAGUCAGUGGUGAAAGCCCAGAGCUCAACUCUGGAAUUGCCUUUGAUACUGACUGUCUUGAGUAUGGGAGAGGUAUGCGGAACUCCGAGUGUAGAGGUGAAAUUCGUAGAUAUUCGGAAGAACACCAGUGGCGAAGGCGGCAUACUGGCCCAUUACUGACGCUGAGGCUCGAAAGCGUGGGGAGCAAACAGG